UACAGAGGGGGCAAGCGUUGUUCGGAAUUACUGGGCGUAAAGGGCGCGUAGGCGGCCUGUUAAGUCGAACGUGAAAUCCCCGGGCUCAACCCGGGAACUGCGUCCGAUACUGGCAGGCUUGAAUUCGGGAGAGGGAUGCGGAAUUCCAGGUGUAGCGGUGAAAUGCGUAGAUAUCUGGAGGAACACCGGUGGCGAAGGCGACGUCCUGGACCGGCAUUGACGCUGAGGCGCGAAAGCCAGGGGAGCAAACGGG
rnacentral:rRNA from 1 species